UACUUGUACCGCUCCAGUGUCAUAGUGGUUAGAGCGUUCGCCUCGGAUGCGUGAUGACGUGGGUUCGAUUCCCGGUCGAGUCAU